CUUUUACUACUGGGGUUUCUGGGUUCCGUGUUGAGACAGGAAGGCACACCCACAGCCAAUACCAUCUGUCAAUCAAGAGCGGUGGGAGGCCAGAGACAGAGUUGGCACAGCCGCCUUCAGUGGUGCUAGACAGGUCUGGGCCCAGAGGAUGCCUUGCACAAUCUCUUAGGGAAAUGAACAAAUAUAAAUUAAAAAAAAUGAUGCUUUUGCAAACUAACACAGACUAAAAGAUGAGGCACAUUAGUCCAAAGAGAUGGGUUCCAAAUAAGCAAUCCUGGAUGCAAGAGGAAUGAGUGGACUGGGGUGGGGGGUGCAGAACAACUAGAUGCUCUGAAGCUCUCCUCGUCUCAGGGCAGCACCAGGAGCGGGCUGAAGCUGCCCCGUGCAGUCUCUCUGGAAAGGUAGAAGCUCACAGCCGCUUUCUAUGAGCAGGAGCAACAAUAGCAGAAAUUCCUGAAGUCAAAGGAAGGAAAGCCCAGUUCCUCGGCCUUGCAAUCAACCUCUAGGAAUUCUGGGAGUUUUGGUUACUCUGCAAUUUGGAGAUCAGCGGUGGAUCACAGCCAGGUCUUUAAGAAAGGCGGGGCAUGGCUCCCAAAGGUGGCGACCCUCCAAUACUCUGCCUAGUGAGUGUGCCUUUGGACAGCUGUGUGCUUGUUUAGCCUGGGUUUUAGCUCUGGUCGCCAAAUACUCUGUAACAUCCUGCUUUUUGUCCUCUGCCCCUGGGGGGUUGUCCAGCUCCAUGCCUCCUACUUUGGAAGAGCAGCGCCCCCUUGUGAUCAUGACCGCUCACCUUGGACUCUCUCAGAGAGCUGAACAAAGGGAAGAAGAGGAGCUCUAACCCCAAGAUCUCGAAAGCUUGUGCACAUAGAAGAGAGAACUAACUGCUUGUGAGAGCCAGGAGAGGCCUCACUGGAGACUGUUUGUACUGCACGUUGAAAGAAGAGUAGGAAUUUAUGAUGUCAGGAAGCGGAGAAAGGGCCUUCUAGCACAGGAAGUGCAAAUGCACAAAGGAAAUUGAUGUCUGUGCAGUAUUCCCAAAGAACACACUUAUCUUGGAGACUCAUUAACCCAUCUUGUGCGCAUUGGUUGCCAGGCACUGCAGUGGCUGGGUAUUCAUGGCUGCGGGAGUCCUUCUCCUGAGGUGCAGAGACCGUGGGCUUAGUUGUCCAACUACGGCUGUCUGCAAACGAGAAAGGCUGAAAACCUCCACUCAGUCCAUGAAGAUGGGUGCCUCGCCAAGUUCUCCUGGGGACAUGUCUGUGGGUACAUUUGGAUUGCUGAUUGAUGUACAAAAUGUACAAAGGUCCCACCACACACAGGGAUGGAGCGUGAUCUGGAGUAUAAGCUGAAAUCAACCCUUUCCUCCCUGUGUCGAUUUGGUGGUGGUAUUUACCAAGCAACAGAAAGCAGACUAGAAGAGCCCAUUGAGAGUGUCAUCUGUAUGAGGACUCAGUGAGCCUCUUAGGAAUGAAGACUUCCAGGUUUGGUUAGAGAUGCUCUGGUCUAUGUGGUGGGGUACUUAGAAACCAACAACCGAGUCUUGUUUCCUGGGACAAAAUGGCUGUCAUAGUUUGGGCAUGAAGUGCGUCCCCUAUGGCUCAGGAGUCGAAGGCUUGGCUGCCAGUUGGAAGACCCAGUCACUGGGAUUGUGAGGUCUCUGACCUCUUCAGAGGACUAAUCCAUUGAUGGAUUUGUAAUUUGAUGAUGUGUGACGGGAGGUAGGAUCUACUUGGAGUGAGUGCCUCACUGAGAGAAGUCGCCCUAAGAAGGUACGCCUCCUUCCUGUUGCUUUCCUGGUGUUCCCUGCUUCCUGGCUGCCAGCAGGCCAGUGGCUCUACUCUGUCCUCUCUGCAGGAUACUGGGCUUCACCACAUGCCCCAAUAACCAUGGACUGCAACCUCUGAAGAUGUAAAUCCAAACCAAGUUCUUUCUCCUUUUCAGUUGUUUCUGUCUGGUAUUUGACACAGAGAGGAAAACCUCCUACAAAAGCACAUGAGCUAGGAUUCAAAUAAUUUCACUUGUAUUGGCCAAAAAUCAGAAACUCUCCAGAAUGCAUACAUUAUGGCUCUAUAUACUUCAUAUAUUAUUUAUUUAGAUUCAGUAUGUUUGUUUAUUAGUUCCUUCACCCUAACUUUGACUCCCACCUGUUGCUUAUAUUUAGCCAGACCUGGGAGACUACGGCCUACGUGUUAAGUCCAGCCUAUGGGCUUGUGAGCCAUGACCGUGGCAAUGAUGGUCAAUGUUUUCAAGGCGCAUACAGCAACAUCAUCAACAACAACAACAACAUCAACAACAACAUCAUCAACAUCAACAACAACAUCAUCAACAACAAAACAUAAAGAAGAACAUUUAGCAGAGUCCUGAUAUGGCUCCCAAAGUCUACAGCGUUCACUCUUUGGCCCUUGGGAUAAACGUUUGCCAACUGCUGCCCUGGAGAUGUCCUGACUGCCCUGUGAAAAGAUUGGCGGCUGUUGCUCACUUCCCUCUUACAGCCGUCUUGGGAGGCGGGGCAGCGCCUAUCAUGCCCAUAUCCAGUGAGGCAACAGAAGAUCAGAACAGUUACCUAACUGCUCCGAGGUCACGUUCACGCCGGUGAAGGUAGAAAGGGGUCAGGGGCUCCUAGUUGGACCUCUUAUCGCUAGAUGGCAGAGGGAGUGACUGGCCAAAGUGACUGAGCCAGCUCUCCCGUAGGAGGCAGCAGUGGCUGAACCACAUCCAAACCGAUUGGAGGGCAUUGGGUCUCUCCACCCUUCCUUAGCAAGCAGCUCAUUGGGAAACGGAGAGCAUGAAGAAUAUUUGGAAAUGCUAAAAAUGUUUAACUAGCCUUAUUAUAGACUUGGGCAAGCUGGGCAACAGAAGUUCACAUUGCCCAGCAGACACGGUGUCUCAACUCCCCAGCGUGACCUUACCUCCAGGGUGGCCCCGAAAGCCGUGAAGCGGACUUCAAACAAAUGGCCUUCAUGGCGCCCCCAUUCCUCUGUGCUCUCAUCCUGUUCCCUCUCCUCCACGCAGAAGUUGGAUGCAGACGGCAGCUUGAGGGAAUGAAUGCUCUCAUUGUUCACCAGUGAGCCUGUCAGUCGCUUCCCCACGGCAGCCCCUGAGCAGCCGGUGUGGGGCACUCUGUCCUCAACAUAAACAGCCAGCCAGGCUGAGUAGCGGCUUGUUUUCCUCACCAAGCAGGCAAGGUCUGACAGAUGCUGGGGCCGGCCCCCACCGCUGCCCCAUGGCUGAACAGGGGUUUUGUAUCAGUUAAUGUGACCCAGCUCCUGCCUAAUGUCCUUGAAUGCUACUGAGGAGAGUCCUAAAAUCAAGAUGUGUUCAGGAUGGGUUCUGGGUCACCUUUAAGAAGGAGGGAUGGGAGAUGCAAAGACUAGGCUGCUUGUCUGUCUGUCGCAGACAGUUUAAGAAGCUCUAAUACAAAAUCAGGACUCUGAACAAGGUGACUAUAGACUCUUCAAGGAAGCUAAAAUUCUAAGUUCUCUAAUCUCUUCCUUGACGGUCUGCUGAAACAGAAUGGACUUCUAUCCAGAUAGGCUUAUUCAGCAGAUUGUCAACUGAGUCCUUCUCAUGUACAAACAAGAGCCUUUCUAGGGAGGGACAAAGGAGGAAGCCAGGUGAGAGGCAGUCUCCAGGUUGAGGGGUGUCUGCUGAGUCAAGGAAAUCCCAGAGUUCUGGGGCGAGCAUCUGUUAGCAAUGCACAGAGAGUCUAGCAAUGCAGACAGAGGACACAGCCCAGGAUGGCCUGGCUCCUGCUGGAAGCUUCUGCUCUCGCUCUAGGACUUCCUCAGCCUUGCUCUUUCUACAGUCACUCAGUCACUUAAAGGCAUGUGUUUCCUUCCUUUCUCCCUCCUUCCCUUCUUUCUUUCUUCCUACCUUAUGGCCCCUUCCUUUAUUUUUUUUUUUUUUCCUUCAGAGACGCUCUCUUGCAUCCCAAGCUGACCUCAAGCUCAAUACACAGCCAAGGAUAGCUGUGAACUUCUGGUGCUUGUGACUCCAGCCACCCCCCUACACCCUACCCCUGUCGAGCACUGGGGUUACAGGAGCCUGGAAAGCUAAGGCCCUUCCCUCUGUGUUGGAUGUCAGUGUCUCCUCUUCGGGUGACAGAUCGCUUCACCUUGAGACCUCCAUUGCUUCAACAUUGUCGCGGUCCAGUUUCCAUAUUAUUUUGCCUAUCUUCAAUAAUGUCAAUUGAUAUUUCUCCCUCUGUCCCAUCAGGAUUGAGUGAUAAAGGUGAAUUCAUAAGCUCUAUCCCCUCCUCAUUGUGUUUGAAAUGUGCUUGUUGCUGUGCACUUCUCAAAUGGACAAUUUUAAGAAUGUCAUUCAAGCUAUUACUUUUUCAUCUCCGAGAGCUCAUUCCAGCAUAGUGAGGUGACCCCGACUGCUCCCUACAAAAUGAGUUUCUUAGAGGUAAUUUCUUUAGAAGGAGUAAUUGAAUCCUACAUGUCUUAUCAGUAUCCUCCAAAAAUAGAUAUAUUCCAAAGUUUAUUGUAGAUGGUCUAGUUUUGGAAGAAUAGAUAUGAAGAUUUUUGUGUUAGAGCAUCUGAGCAAGUCAAUCUCAAUGAUUCAAAGCACCCUCUCCAGCUCUAAACCUUCAACAGAUAUACCCCAAAGACCAUAAAACACAGUAGAAGAGGGCUGUGUGCUUCCGUGGGCUAUGCCAACCACAGAACCAUCGGCAGUGCAUGCAGAACAGCUCAUCCAGGGCUCUGUGUGAGCUCCUAUACCCUUGGCAUUUUCUAGCCCUAACCUUUUAGCACUAAGCCAUUCCGAGUGAAUAAUAGAAUGAUGUAGUGGGCUUACGGCUUAUGUUCUUAUAAAUAUUUCCUUAUUAAGUUUCUUAACAAGUCUGACAUCAGUGCUGGGUAGGUCAUAGGUCAUCACGGUCUCUAACUGUGCUAAGGUUGACCCAUCUGUGACCAAGUUAGCAAGACCCUUUUGGUACCAUAAGGGUCCAAUACUGUGUUUACCUUAAUGGUCUUUUAACCUGAAUCCCAAUCAAUUCCAUGGAUAAAUAAGUACUUAGCUCUUCAGCUGGGGCCCGGGGCACUGGAGAUUACUUACACUUUG